UUUGCUCUGCCAUCGCUACUAGAUCGCCAAACUACCGGCCACGAUCGCUACCAGAUUCCGUGAUCUGGUCCGAUCCAGUAGCAUUUCACCUCUGGAUGUGGACCUUGAGCUUCAGCCUGCAAUCUGAUGCAAAAGGUGCAUUUACAACAGUAUCAUGCAGAAGGUCAAAAUCUAUUUUCUGCUUUUUCCAUAAUGCAAGGCAGAAAGCAGGUAGUCCUUGACUUAUGGCCGGUUGUUUAACUACCCUUCAAAGUUACAAUGGCCUCAGAAAGGGUGCUUUAUGACCUGUAAAGUACUUUUGGCAUCACUUUGCCCCUCCACCUCGCAUAUUGCAUCUGGAUGCUCGUUUGGACUUAUGCCCAAUUGCCAAGUGUCCCACAAUCAGGGAGGGAACCUCAUGGUGCUCACAACAUAGCUGUCCUCAAAACAAGAAGGAAAAGAAUAGGGAGCAGAGGGAGAAGUCCAUUCCGACGGCAUGAAUUAGCUGGAACAUUGCUAAUUUGGAAAUACCCAUUAUAUUUCUAUAUAAAUGGGUGAAUGAACGAUAGGAGUGCUGGUAUCCAUGUAUUCAAGUCUUCUUAUGUGUGAGGGAGAAUUGACAGAGGAUGACAAUAUGUAAUGGUGAUAAAGUUAAGCGUCAGAAAGAGAUUCAGCAGAGAGAAAGCUCAUAAAAGUUGUGACUUGCUUCUGAUCUUUUAACCCAGGGGUGUCAAACUUGAUCACGUCACGUAUCGAGAUGUUUUUUGCCUUUGCUGAGCCAGGGUGGGUGCGGCCUUUGCAUGACGCAUCUGGCCUACAGGCCACCAGUUUGACAGGCCUGUUUUAACCUAACCUAAUUAAUCAAUGGGCUUGAUCUCGGGCAGGGGUCU